AUCCGUAAGUCUGGGGAUCUGCAUUUCUAACAAGUUCCCAGUUGAUGCUGAUGCUGCUGGUCCAGGCACCACACUGCCUAAUUGUGUCUGGGACACUAAGAUGGGGAAUCAGUUGCCAUUUGUCAUCAAUUUGUACUGUGGUUUCUCUUAUAGCUGCUGUGUCCUGCAUUUAACACACCUUCCUGGCCCUGGUGGAAUUUGGAUUUACAAUUUCUGGCAUAAACAGUGUUGGAAGGUUGGGUCUAAGUCCCAAGAGACAUAUGGGCCGGUGAGAAAGAGAUUUGGGAGUGGCUGCGGCUCAGCCUAAAGCAGGACUGUGUAGCUGAAGCUGUGGUGUGUGUGAGCUCAUCCCCAGGGAGAGCGUGCGGGGAGAGACGGGUUGUGGGUGAAUGGCAGAAUGACGCGGGGGCACUGGCACACCCUGCCUUGCAGGAAGGGAGAAAGGAUAGUAACUGUUCAAGGAAGAGGAUGGAGGGAGCAUUCGGAGCGGAGGGAGGAGAGUGAGAGAGCUGCUGAUGGAGCGUCCUUGGCCUUGUUGUUAGAGACAGGACUGUGGGCAAACACCUGAGGCCAAAGUUUUAAUAGUUAAACAGUGAGUUGUCAGGUGAGCUCCGGGCUGUGGGAGCACAGGGAGCGGGUGUCCUGUUACCCCUGCCCACGGCAUGCCUGGUAACCUGCUGUUGCUCCAAGGCACGGCUUGUUGUGACAAUUGUCUCUGAGGCUCCGGGGACGUGGUUGCAGCUUGGAGCUGAGCAUGGCCCUCUCUCAGCUCCUUUGUCUGCUGCCGUGGCCCUGGUGGCAUCCUCCCUCGGUGAUCAGCCCAGGGCUUUCCCUGCCCAUGCAGUCUCCUGCAACCACUGCUGAGGGCCUCAGUGGCCCCCUCUUUGGGGCCUACAUGCUCCCUACCUUCAAGUUCCAGCCUCGCCAUGAAAGCAUGGACUGGAGGCGUAUUAGUGCCCUGGAUGUGGACCGCGUGGCCCGGGAGCUGGACGUGGCCACCCUGCAGGAGAACAUCGCUGGCGUCACCUUCUGCAAUUUGGACCGGGAGGCGUGCAGCCGCUGUGGGCAGCCUGUGGACCCAGCGCUGCUCAAGGUGCUGCGCUUGGCGCAGCUCAUCAUCGAGUACCUGCUGCACUGCCAGGAUUGCCUGAGUGCCAGCGUGGCCCAGCUGGAGGCGCGGCUGCAGGCCAGCCUGGGCCAGCAGGAGCGUGGCCAGCAGGAGCUGGGCCGCCAGGCUGAUGAGCUCAAGGGUGUGCGGGAGGAGAGCCGCCGGCGUCGCAAGAUGAUCAGCACCUUGCAGCAGCUGCUCCUGCAGACAGGCGCCCACAGCUACCACACGUGCCACCUGUGUGACAAGACGUUCAUGAAUGCCACCUUCCUCCGAGGCCACAUCCAGCGCAGACAUGCGGGCACGGCAGAGGGCAUGGCAGAAGGAAAACAGAAGAAGCAGGAACAGCCAGUGGAGGAGGUGUUAGAAGAGCUGCGGGCCAAGCUAAAGUGGACCCAAGGGGAGCUGGAAGCCCAGCGUGAGGCUGAGAGGCGGCGGCAGCUCCAGGAAGCAGAGAUCACUCGUCAGAGGGAAAUGGAAGCUAAGAAAGACUUUGAUGAGUGGAAAGAAAAAGAGCGGGCCAAGCUCUAUGGGGAAAUAGACAAGCUAAAAAAAUUAUUUUGGGAUGAAUUUAAAACUGUUGCCAACCAUAACUCUACGCUAGAAGAGAAACUGCAGGCACUGCAGUCCCACAGUGUGAUCGAGUCCCAUCUGGGGUCGUUGCGGGAUGAGGAGUCGGAGGAGCGACUCAGGCAGGCGCAGGAGCUCCAGGCACUGAAGGAGAAGAUGGAUGUUCAGAAAACAGAAUGGAAGAGGAGAAUGAAGGAACUGCAGGAACAGCAUGCAGCUCAGAAGAAAGAGCUGCAGGAACAGAACGAGAGGCUCCAGGCCUCCCUGUCUCAGGAUCAGAGGAAAGCAGCGGCCCAGGCCCAGCGCCAGAUCAGCACCCUCCACGCCCAGCUCCAGGAACAAGCCAGGCUCAUCGCCUCCCAGGAGGAGAUGAUCCAGACCAUGUCUCUCAGAAAAGCGGAGGGGAUCUGCGAGGGCCCGAAGGCUGUGGACACAGAAGAGGACUCUUCCGAGGAAGAACUGGAGGCCUCCCGAGAUGGACAGCAGAAGGUGCUGGCAGCUCUGAGGCGAAACCCCACCUUGCUGAAGCAGUUCAGGCCAGUCCUGGAGGACACCCUGGAGGAGAAACUGGAAAGCAUGGGGAUAAAGAGGGGUGCCAAGGGAAUCCCUGCGCAGACUCUCAGACACCUGGAGUCCCUCCUGAGAGCCCAGCGGGAGCAGAAGGCGGGGAGGUUUUCUGAAUUUUUGAGUCUGAGGGAAAAACUCGUCAAGGAAGCCACCAGCAGAGUGAAGGAGAAACAGAGGAACAGGGCUGCAGGGUCCCCGCAGGACGGCCAGGCUCCAGCCAAGAGCCAGCAGAACCUUUUGUUCACCAAAGAGGUCCAGCCAAAGGCCAGGACCCUGCAUGUGACAUUGCCAUCCAAGCUGGCAGAGCCACCCAUGACAACUCCUCAGAGCCGCGGCAGCCAUGGCCCUGGCCUCGUCCAGGUGCCCACCCCAGCUCCGCGCCCCAGAGCCCAUGGAUCCUCUGGCACCCCUGCUUCCCCGGGGCCUGGGCUGAGUACGCCCCCGUUCAGUUCUGAAGAGGACACUGAAGGAGAUCCUGUGCAGCGUGUGUCUCUCCAGCCCCCGAGAGUUCCUUCGAGGAUGGGGUCCCGGCCAGAGGAUGACUGGGACUGGUCUGACACCGAGACGUCGGAGGGGAACGCCCAGCCCCCUGGCAAGGGCUCCGGUGGGCUGGCUACCUCAGAGACACUGGUGCAGUCGAUGGUCAAGAACCUCGAGAAGCAGCUGGAGGCUCCGGCGAAGAAGCCUGUUGGAGGCGUCAAACUGUUCCUAAUGCCCGAUGCUGGGCCACAGAGGGCUGCCACACCAGGGAGGGAGCCCCAGCUGUCUGACGAUGAGAGUGACUUGGAGGUCUCUUCUUUGGAAGAUCUCCCCCAGGACCUGGACCAGAGAGAGAAACCGAAGCCCUUGUCUCGUUCAAAGCUCCCAGAGAAGUUUGGCGCCAGCUCUUGGAGCCCCAGCCGACCCAGGGUCCCUGGCUGGUGAUCCUGCCCCAGAACCUGGUGGGUAGAGGACCAGCCAUGUCGCCUGGCUGGGGCCAGCUAGGUCCCACCCAACAGAAGAGGCUGCUGGGCGUCUUGUCUUUGCCAGUAACCGAGAGGUCUUCUCCCUUGGAGAGAAGCACAGCGGAAGACGGGUAUAAUUUCUCCCUCCCCGCCUGUGAGGGGUCCUGCCCCAGAGCAUCAGCGGUGCCUGGCUGGGUGCCCAUGGGUCCUCCCACAGCUUGAGAAAGGCUUAUAACAGGACCUCUGAGCAAUUUCCUUCCACCACCUCAAUGUUUACAUAGAGUAAAAGGAGCUACUUGGUCUCUAUUCCGGAGCGUUUGUAAACCUGUGGGAGCACUGUGAAGAUGAAUCCUAUGUGGGGUCCUUUUGGUGACAAGUGCCUCAGUCGGUCAUUCAGUGAUUGAUCCAAAGUCAUUUACUAAGUGCCUGCUCUGUGCCAGGUCCCCCAGCUUCUCACUGCCGAGUCGAGGUGCAGGCAGAGAUGGGUGGGGCAGAAAGUACGGGACAGUAAUCUAGUAACAGAGAUUGGGGUGUUAUGGGAGCGUAGAUGGGACCAUCCAAUGCAGCCUGGGGUGAUCUUGGAGAGCUUCCCAGAGUUGUGAUGUCUAGCAGGGCAGUGGGAGGGAGGGCCACUUGGCUGGGGCCUCAUAUCCCUAAAGGACCACAAAUUUUAUUUUAUUUUAUUUUUUUGCUUGAGGAGGAUUAGCCCUGAGCUAACACCUGUUGCCAGUCUUCAUCUAUUUUGUAUGUGGGUCACUCCCACAACAUGGUCACAAACGAGUGGUGUAUAUCCGCACCUGGGAACUGAACCAGGGCUGCCGAAGUAGAGAGCGCCGAACUUAACCACUAGGCUGUGGGGCCGGCCCCAGGACCACAAAUUUAAUUUUUGAUAUUAUUUCCAAAAUUAGCUUAUAUAUAUAGCCACUGUAUUUUUUGUAAUGUGAAAAGCAUUCAUUUAUGAUAUGUGGACAUUUAAAUAUAACACAAUGUUUAUAACUCUGGUAUUUCUUCAUUAUUUUUGGAGCUUCCGUGGGGGCAGGGGUGGGGGUGAAGCACCCUGCACCCCAAUCGUGUCGGUUUACAUCCUGUGGGUGCAGUUGCCAAGAGGGAGUUAGGAGUGUGAGAGGUUUGUUGAGGAGCCUCACCUGUGAAAGGUGCAGGUGGAGGAAGCAGGCUUGGAUGGGGAAAGGCCUCAGAGUGCGAUGCAGGUCUGACUACGGUGGGAGGAGAGGAAGGAGGAAGCAGGAACAGGCAGGAAGAGCCCCAGACCACCAGGCAGAGCUGAAGUCCACCAACCCAAUGAGAGCUCCAGGGCAGGAAUGGCCCACCAGGGAGUCCCCAGUGGGCAGAAACGGCCAGGCCCUGGUGCCCCCACCCUGCUCGGCCAUUGAGUAGGGCGGCCCAUGAAGAGGGAGACCUGACCUGAAAGCUGAGACGAGCCCUGUCAGCCAACUUCAUUCCUUGUAGUUGAACAGCAGUUUUUUUCCUAGAGGGAGACCCAGCGGUGCAUCUCCACACCUCACAAGCAGAGGGAAUAGCGUGCCAGGACCACGUUGCCAACACCCAGCUUUAACCAUUAUCAACUCAACACACAGCCCGUCUUGUUUCAUCCAUCUCUCCCCCCACCUCAGGUUUGGUUGCACUUCCCGUGCCAGGUGCCCACAUCACGCAUGCCCCCUGAGGUCUCUGCUUGUGGCCUCAGGGUUGUCUCUGGCGCUGUGGAAGGCUGCACUGUCUACUUGCAGGUACAACCGGAGGUGUGGGAGGGCUGCCACUACCCGGGCGGCCCACAGCCAAGGCGGGAUGGGAGUUGAUCUGAGGUGGCACUGAGGAUAGAACAUGGAAGGAUGAGAGUUGACACAUGGGCCCACACACGUCCCUGAAAUUAUCCUGUGAAAAAUGAGACUGAGGAGGCAGCCCUAGCCCCCGGAACACCGGGCACAGGAAGAGAAGCAAGGCUGGUGAGCUCCGGUUUGACGGGUCAGGAUGGAUGCAGAUCCUCCCAGUUAGGUCCCUUAUUUGAUAUAAUCACCGCUUUUCCCGAAGGUCCUUGGAUAAGUUCUAUCAACUCUGGAAAUACCCUCUGAUAUCAGGAAAGAGAUGCCUCCUUUUGGCAAGAUUCCCUAGCUGAAGGAUGGCAUAUGCCUAGAAAUAUGAGCAGCCAUCACUAUCCUGUGGGGACAACUUGCCUGAGAAGCAAACCAACAGAGAGGAAAGCAAAACUGAGAAGAGGGCAGAAAAAGGGACGCUUUCCGGCUGGUGACAGAAAGAAGAUCUGCAGUGGAGAGCCCUGGAGAUGCUGGGAGAGUCUUGUUGGAAUUAGCAGAUGCCAGCAGAAGCAGAAAGGCAUGGUUUCCACAAACUGAAAUCACUUUGGUCAGAUGGGAAAACCAUCAUCAUGGACCAUCAUGGUCCAUGGAGCAGCUUUGGUGCAGAAGCCUGGAGUUGGAGGACUGGGAGCUGUCUGAUAGCCAGUGAGAUGCUCGCUGCUAAGAUUUGUUGAGAGAAAGGAAUGCAGGAGAUAAGGGCCAGAACCAUGUCUCCUGAGCUGAAGGU